AGUGAACGCUGGCGAUAGGCCUAACACAUGCAAGUCGAACGGCAGCACAGUAAGAGCUUGCUCUUACGGGUGGCGAGUGGCGGACGGGUGAGGAAUACAUCGGAAUCUACUUUUUCGUGGGGGAUAACGUAGGGAAACUUACGCUAAUACCGCAUACGACCUACGGGUGAAAGCAGGGGAUCUUCGGACCUUGCGCGAUUGAAUGAGCCGAUGUCGGAUUAGCUAGUUGGCGGGGUAAGGCCCACCAAGGCGACGAUCCGUAGCUGGUCUGAGAGGAUGAUCAGCCACACUGGAACUGAGACACGGUCCAGACUCCUACGGGAGGCAGCAGUGGGGAAUAUUGGACAAUGGGCGCAAGCCUGAUCCAGCCAUACCGCGUGGGUGAAGAAGGCCUUCGGGUUGUAAAGCCCUUUUGUUGGGAAAGAAAAGCAGCAGGUUAAUACCCCGCUGUUCUGACGGUACCCAAAGAAUAAGCACCGGCUAACUUCGUG
rnacentral:rRNA from 1 species